rnacentral:rRNA from 1 species
AUUGAACGCUGGCGGCAGGCCUAACACAUGCAAGUCGAACGGUAACAGGAAGCAGCUUGCUGCUUUGCUGACGAGUGGCGGACGGGUGAGUAAUGUCUGGGAAACUGCCUGAUGGAGGGGGAUAACUACUGGAAACGGUAGCUAAUACCGCAUAACGUCGCAAGACCAAAGAGGGGGACCUUCGGGCCUCUUGCCAUCGGAUGUGCCCAGAUGGGAUUAGCUAGUAGGUGGGGUAAAGGCUCACCUAAGCGACGAUCCCUAGCUGGUCUGAGAGGAUGACCAGCCACACUGGAACUGAGACACGGUCCAGACUCCUACGGGAGGCAGCAGUGGGGAAUAUUGCACAAUGGGCGCAAGCCUGAUGCAGCCAUGCCGCGUGUAUGAAGAAGGCCUUCGGGUUGUAAAGUACUUUCAGCGGGGAGGAAGGGAGUAAAGUUAAUACCUUUGCUCAUUGACGUUACCCGCAGAAGAAGCACCG